GAAGGUCCUGUGCAUGUUAGCAAGCAAAGAGAGAGUCAAAACAUCCAGCAGAAGCAGGAAGAGAAGAGUUACCCAGCAUUGCACAGCUAUCUUGAGAAGUAGAGGACAAGGCCCCUCUCUUCAGUGACAACUCUCUGAGGCCACCUAUUCCAUCUUAAUUGGGGGACCUAACUAAGUUGAAAGUAAGAAGACUUGG
rnacentral:lncRNA from 1 species